UGUGCCUAGGGGUGAAAGGCCAAUCAAACUCGGAGAUAGCUGGUUCUCCGCGAAAUCUAUUUAGGUAGAGCGUUAGACGAAUACCCCCGGGGGUAGAGCACUGGAUGGGUAAUGGGGCCCCACAGGCUUACUGAUCCUAACCAAACUCCGAAUACCCGGGAGUACUAGAUGGCAGACACACUGCGGGUGCUAACGCCCGUAGUGGAGAGGGAAACAACCCUGACCUCCAGCUAAGGCCCCUAAUUCAUGGCUAAGUGGGAAAGCAGGUGAGACGGCCAAAACAACCAGGAGGUUGGCUUAGAAGCAGCCAUCCUUUAAAGAUAGCGUAACAGCUCACUGGUCUAAAUAAGCUGUCUUGCGGCGAAGAUGUAACGGGGCUCAAGCCAUGAGCCGAAGCUGAGGACAUCGCAAGAUGUGGUAGCGGAGCGUAGUGUGACAUAGAUUCUAUCCUCUUUAGUCGUCUUUGACGGCCUUGGAGGAUUGAGAAUCUUUCUGUGAAGCCGGGCUGUAAGGCAUCCGGUGGAGAGAUCACUAGUGAGAAUGAUGACAUGAGUAGCGACAAAGAGUGUGAGAGACACUCUCGCCGAAAGUCCAAGGGUUCCUGCUUAAAGCUAAUCUGAGCAGGGUAAGCCGACCCCUAAGGCGAGGCCGAAAGGCGUAGUCGAUGGGAACCAGGUUAAUAUUCCUGGGCCAGGAGAGUGUGACGGAUCACGAGUGUAGUAAGGUCUUAUUGGAUUGAUCUUGCUGCUUAGUGGUUCCUGGAAAUAGCCCUCCAUUAAGAUCGUACCCUAAACCGACACAGGUGGACAGGUAGAGUAUACCAAGGCGCUUGAGAGAACUGUAUUGAAGGAACUCGGCAAAAUACCUCCGUAAGUUCGCGAGAAGGAGGCCCUAUAUUUAGGCAACUAGAUGUAGGGGACACAACCCAGGGGGUGGCGACUGUUUACUAAAAACACAGGGCUCUGCGAAGCCGCAAGGCGAUGUAUAGGGUCUGACGCCUGCCCGGUGCCGGAAGGUUAAGAGGAGGUGUGCAAGCACCGAAUUGAAGCCCCGGUAAACGGCGGCCGUAACUAUAACGGUCCUAAGGUAGCGAAAUUCCUUGUCGGGUAAGUUCCGACCUGCACGAAUGGCGUAACGACUUCCCCGCUGUCUCCAACAUCAACUCAGCGAAAUUGAAUUCCCCGUGAAGAUGCGGGGUACCCGCGGUCAGACGGAAAGACCCCGUGCACCUUUACUAUAGCUU
rnacentral:rRNA from 1 species